GAUGAAGAACGUAGCGAAAUGCGAUAAGUAAUGUGAAUUGCAGAAUUCAGUGAAUCAUCGAAUUUUUGAACGCACAUUGCGCCCCUUGGUAUUCCGAGGGGCAUGCCUGUUCGAGCGUCAUUAUAACCCCUCAAGCUCAGCUUGGUGUUGGGGCCUGCUGCACUGGCAGCCCUUAAAAUCAGUGGCGGCGCCAUCUGGCUCUAAGCGUAGUAAUUCUUCUCGCUAUGGAGUCCUGGUGGAUGCUUGCCAUCAACCCCCAAUUUCUCUAUGGUUGACCUCGGAUCAGGUAGGGAUACCCGCUGAACUUAAGCAUAUCAAUAAGCGGAGGA
rnacentral:misc_RNA from 1 species